GCCUUCCCAGACUUGUAGGUCUAUCAAAAGCUAUUGAAAUGAUGCUGUUAUCUAAAACAAUCACGUCUGAAGAAGGAGAGAAGAUAGGUCUUAUUGAUGCUGUUGUCAGUCCAAAUGAGUUGAUGAAAGUAGCUAGAAAGUGGGCAUUAGAUAUUGCUGAUAGACGCAAACCAUGGAUCCGUACUCUUCAUCGGACAGACAGAA
rnacentral:misc_RNA from 1 species